ensembl:lncRNA LINC01580 long intergenic non-protein coding RNA 1580
GAGCCACCGCGACGGGCCGCCAUCCCUACCGUUUACAGACAGCGUCCAUCUCACUGGUGGGUCCCUAUGCAGUCCAACUUGCUCCACGUCUGAAUGUCAGUCCUAGAUACAAAGCAGAGAAGUUUAAAGUAGGGAAUGGCUUCUUUUUUCCUUUUACAAAACAUAAUGAUGGUAAGACACAAUAUUGGAGCUGGGAUGAAGGAGAAGUAGAUAUAAAGAUAUGGAGGGGCAUCCCUUAAGGGAUAUAAAUAGUUUCACAGAUGAAAUGCCUAAAGGAGAGAGAGGAGAGACAGAUGAGGAGACAAUUAUCUCAAAGGAGGAAAAUGGUCAAAAGGCAAAGAAUAAUGUGUGUGAACUCUCCGGUGCAUGUAGCCUAAGGAGAUUUGCUAGUUUGAGUCCUGGGAGAUGAGAUGGGGAAGAUGGGCCCAAGCUGCAACAUGAAGGUCCAUGAUGAACAGUUGGCAUCUCCUACAGUGCCUGCCACUUGGUAAUGUUCAAUGCAGCCAAGGGAGCUAAGGUAAUGAACAAAACAGAGAAGUUCCUACCCUCCCUGAUGUUCAUUCUAGCAAAUGGAGACAGAUGAUAGAAACUGCACAUCAUUGAGCAAGAGGGACACCAUGGAUAAUGGAAAGAUCUACGGCAAGGCUGGCUGUCUGCCCUGUCUAAGGAGGACGUACUGGACCAUCCUGCUCUGCACAUCCAGAUGUGUCCAUGAAUACAUCCAUAAAACGAUGGCCUGUGGAAUCCUAUAGGAAAAUGAUCCAGAGCCUGGGCGGUCAGAAGGAACAAACACUUGAUUUACAAAAUAAAUCUUCUAUGUUUAUGUUUUAAAGACACACAGAGGAAAAA